UUUAUCGGAGAGUUUGAUCCUGGCUCAGGACGAACGCUGGCGGCGUGCCUAAUACAUGCAAGUCGAGCGGACAGAUGGGAGCUUGCUCCCUGAUGUUAGCGGCGGACGGGUGAGUAACACGUGGGUAACCUGCCUGUAAGACUGGGAUAACUCCGGGAAACCGGGGCUAAUACCGGAUGGUUGUUUGAACCGCAUGGUUCAAACAUAAAAGGUGGCUUCGGCUACCACUUACAGAUGGACCCGCGGCGCAUUAGCUAGUUGGUGAGGUAACGGCUCACCAAGGCAACGAUGCGUAGCCGACCUGAGAGGGUGAUCGGCCACACUGGGACUGAGACACGGCCCAGACUCCUACGGGAGGCAGCAGU
rnacentral:rRNA from 1 species